CAAUAGCGUAUAUUUAAGUUGUUGCAGUUAAAAAGCUCGUAGUUGGAUUUCUGCUGAUCGCUGUCGGUCUGCCGUCAGGUGUGUACUGGCAGUGUUUGGCAUCUAUUCGAGAUUGGGUGUCCACUUGAUUGUGUGCACUCGAUGUCGGAGCUAAUACUUUGAGAAAAUUAGAGUGUUCCACGCAGGCGCGUGCCUUGAAUACUGCAGUAUGGGAUAUUGGAAGGCCGAUUGAGCUUUCUUGUUGGUUCUCGGUUUGAUCGGAAUGAUUAAUAGGGAUAGUUGGGGGCAUUCGUAUUCAACUGUCAGAGGUGAAAUUCUUGGAUUUGUUGAAGACGGACUACUGCGAAAGCAUCUGCCAUGGAUGUUCUCAUUG
rnacentral:rRNA from 1 species